GUGCCAGCCGCCGCGGUAACACGGGGGGAGCAAGCGUUGUUCGGAAUCACUGGGCGUAAAGGGCGUGUAGGCGGUCAAGUAAGUGGAAUGUGAAAUGCCUCGGCUUACCCGGGGACCUGCAUCCCAAACUGCUUGGCUUGAGUAUGGGAGAGGAUGAGGGAAUUCCUGGUGUAGCGGUGAAAUGCGUAGAUAUCAGGAGGAACACCGGUGGCGAAAGCGCUCAUCUGGCCCAAUACUGACGCUGAGGCGCGAAAGCUAGGGGAGCAAACGGGAUUAGAUACCCUCGUAGUCC
rnacentral:rRNA from 1 species